rnacentral:rRNA from 1 species
AAUCAACGCUGGCGGCGUGCCUAACACAAGCAAGUCGAGCGAGAAAAGGGGAGCAAUCCCCUGAGUAAAGCGGCGCACGGGUGAGUAACACGUGGGUAAUCUGCCCUGAAGUGGGGAAUAACACCGGGAAACCGGUGCUAAUACCGCAUAUGAUCACGGUGUCUGCGGACACAGGGAUGAAAGGAGCAAUUCGCUUCAGGAGGAGCCCGCGGCUGAUUAGCUAGUUGGUGAGGUAAUGGCUCACCAAGGCAACGAUCAGUAUCCGGUCUGAGAGGACUGUCGGACACACUGGAACUGGGACACGGUCCAGACUCCUACGGGAGGCAGCAGUGGGGAAUUUUUCGCAAGGGGGCAACCCUGACGAAGCAACGCCGCGUGGGUGAUGAAGUCUCUUGGGACGUAAAACCCUUUCGACAGGGAAGAAACCGCAAGGUUGACGGUACCUGUAGAAGAAGCCCCGGCUAACUCCGUGCCAGCCGCCGCCGUAACAC